rnacentral:tRNA from 1 species
AGCGAGAUGGCGCAGCUGGUAGCGCGCUGGGCUCAUACGACCGGCGGACGGUCCGUGUGUCACCCAGAGGUCGUCGGAUCGAAACUGACUCUCGCUA